rnacentral:tRNA from 1 species
CGGGGCGUAGCUCAGCUUGGCUAGAGCGCUUGCUUGGGGUGCAAGAGGCCGGGUGUUCAAAUCACCUCGCUCCGACCA